ACAGUCCGAAGCCCUCUACCCAAACACUCCAUUUUGGUUUCUCCUGGGUGAUAUUUGCCCCCCAGCUGGCUGUUACUAUAAUGAAUUUUUGGAUGGGGCUUGGACAUCAGAAACGCAAGAACCAUCAUCCUAUCCUGGUCAGAUCACUUCUACCCUCAGGCAGAAACUCUUCCAUUGCAGUCAGAAGAAACCACCACCAUAGUCCAUCCCCAAAUACUCUCUCAGUGCCUAGCUGAAUCCAACACCUGAAUGAAAAGAAGCUAGUUAAAGCUGAAUGCAGCUCUCUGGAAGGGGAAAUAUCUUUGUUUUACUCACGUGUACAAUGCCUUCCUAAUCCCUGACUGAGACCUCCAGGCACCAUCACAAUAAUCAUCAUCGCCAUCACCACCACCAGCACACCAAAGGAAUUUUCAGGUGUCAAGUUUAUAUCUGGAGCACAGCUGUUUUGAAGAUGAAAUCAAAAGGAGGAUCUGGGUCUGAGUGUUUAUCCUUACUGGUGUUCUUAGCAGAAAGGCUAAAGACUAAAUGAUUGUGGAGAAUGAACUACUCUUCCAUCCCCAGAAGUUAUGGCUCCAGCUCAUAGUUGAGGCACAUUGAUGGGAAAGCUUGUACUGCUGGAGCUUUUGCUAAAACACUUCUCUGGAUAAACUGUGGGUUUCACUCCUAACAUUGACAGGCUGUAACGAUGCAGUUCUGGCAGGACCCAACUGAAAGUGCCAAUUCAGGACAAAUCACUUAAAACAGGGCAGUUCCAGCGCAAGGCUGGGGUUUUUCCACCUCUA